GUUUCAUGAUCGUGGGAGCUGCGUAAGCAGCGGUUGUCCGUCUGUUGCGUCUGAAUCUGAUGCAAGGCCUGAGGUCAGCAGGGCUAGCACUUGUUAAGGAAAGAUGGACACGGUUUGAGAGAAAGUAAAGACAAAAUAGAACCCAUGAGAAUAAACUGAAACCUACAUCUGUCUUUAGAACACACAUUGGUCUCUAGUCACCUCCAGGGCUUCAACUUGGAUGAUGCAAGUGACCUGCAGAAAAGCGUGCGCAAUCCGUCAUGGAACCAAAUAGGAACUGAGCUCAGGACUUUACGAAACUGAAGGAAGACGUCCGCAGGAGCUACAGGAGCUGCGGGUCCAGCAGCUGACCCUCGCCAGCAAUGUGGGCCAGCAUAUCAGCAACUGCAUAUAUAAGCUGCAAAAUUAUCCCCCCCACGUUGACCUGUGUAAGAGCAUAUGCUUACUGCGUGAGUUCCACAAGGUGUUUUGUAACUCAGAAAAUCUCAGUCAGGAACUACUAAUCAAAUGCCAGCCUUGCUUGUGACUGCAUACAUCCUCACACCGAGUCAGAUGGGAAGAACCAACAAUUUAUGCUGUGCAGAAAAGACCUCUAGAGAAAAGUGAUCAACAGGAAAUAACACAAUAAUUUGCCUUUGAAUUCUCAAAGUAAAAUCUAUUUAUCUUCUCCAUGUGGAACGGCCUACUCUCAGCAUCUUUGCAUUCAGCUGUGUUGAGUUGGGGAGGAGAAAACUAGCAGGAAAAUUUGUGAGCAUAUCCUUUUUCAUUAAAAUGACACAUCUUAGGAAAAUGUUCCCAAGUUCUGUGCAAUUAAUUGGACUUCCUAGGAUUUUGAGUAGGAAAUUUUGACUCCUAUAUAUUAACUUUAAGAAGUUAUGUUUUCUGCAAUAACUGGAU
rnacentral:lncRNA from 1 species